ACAAAGAGAAAAAAAAUGAAUGAAAUAGGAAAUCAUUGAGAGAAAGUAAAAAAAGAGAAUUUUUUUUAUAACUCGAAGAUUCAAAAAGAAGCACGAAAAAGGGCAUUCGGUGGAAAAAUAGAAAAAAAAAAAGAAAACCGAGCAAACAAAAGAAACAAACACAGUAUGUAACAUCGACUCUGAACCAAAAACUCACUUGUUU
rnacentral:lncRNA from 1 species